rnacentral:lncRNA from 1 species
AGAGCCGACCCGAUGCUGCUUGAAGAAGGCUGGAGGUAUGUUAAGGAGACAAGGGCUGUCAAGAAGCAGGGAUGUCUCUGGAAAGGUUCCCCUUGCUGCUGCCAUGUGAAGAAGGACAUGUUUGCUUCCCCUUCUGCCAUCAUUAGAGAAGUAAUACGACACGUAAAGAAACCUGGAUUGAAACAAAGAAAUGAAGAACACUAGAAAUGAAAUAAAUAAAGGUAUCCUGGCUUCCUCCCACACCCCAAAGCUGUGCACACGAGGUGAACUAGCGUACCCACAUGGACCUCAUCUGUGUGAGUGUGGGUGUGUUUGAGUGCACCCUCUGAUGGCAUAUCAUCCUGUCCAGGGUCGUUCUUCUAUUGCUCUGAACUGCCAGGAGUGGCUCUACCCACCUGUGACCCCAAACUCGUCUCAGCAGACAUGGUUUCCCUUUAUCGCUGAAGCUGGAAUACAGGGAUUAUAGCUCACUGCAGCCUUCGGCUCCUGGGCUCAAGUGAUAAUCUUGCCUCGGUAUCCCAAGUUGCUGAGUACCUGAGACUAAAGGUUUAUACUCACCUGUCCAUCAUGUGGAAGCUGGAGAGUCACUUCUUUUGAUAAUUCAAGAAUCUUGGGAUACUUCAGAGAACAAUUCUCAAACAACAACUUCAAACUGACAGACAGACUUCAAGGAACUAUGCAGGAUAGAUGGGUGGCCAAAUGACAAGCUUGGAAAGCUACAAGGGAGUGCUACCUGCUCCUCUCCGUCCAUUCUUUGCUCUCUACUCUGAACUCCAUGUCUUCCACCAAGGUUCACUUCACCACUGUGUCAUUAAAAUGUUCAGUACCAAUAUGCAGACUGUCCGCAAUGAUAGGUAUAAACUGUUCAAGAAGACACCCAUUUCUAGCAAAAUUUCUGACUCCUUUCAAAAUAAAAAUUGGCCC